AAAUAAGAAGCAAAGUAUUGCAUUUAGUUUCGACCUAAAAAUUUGAUUAUUUAAUCCUUAUUUU
rnacentral:tRNA from 1 species